AUUUCAUUCUCAAUUUGAGUGCCGUGUUGACAAGGUUAGGGUUAGGGUUUUAAGGCGCGGGAAAAGAGUUUUGGGGAAAAAUGGAUGCCCAGAUUGAUCACUAUGCGGUGCUAGGGUUACCAUCGGGAGAAGAAGGUGCCAAGCUAACGGAGAAAGAGAUCAACAAAGCCUACAGAUGGAAGGCUCUGGAACUGCACCCCGACAAGAGGCCCGACGACCCCAACGCCGCGGCCAACUUCCAACAGCUCCGCACAUCCUACGACAUUCUCCGGGAUGACAAGGCCCGUAAGUUAUUCGACGAACUAUUGCGUGUCAAGCGCGAACGCGAGCUCCGCCACUCCCAGCGCGAUGGAAAGCGCCGAAAGAUGGUUUCCGAUCUCGAACGCCGGGAGCGCGAUGCCAACGCCCCCGACCUCGCUGCCAAGGAGCGUGAAGAGGAGGCCAGGAUCGCGCGCCAGCUCAAGGAGGAGAUCGCUAGAAUUCGUGCUAUGCACGGCAUGAAGGCGGCGCCGCCACCUCCACCGGAGGCGGAGAAGGAGAGUGGCCGUGGCCGUGCUGGUGGGGGAGGUGGAGUGGAUCAAGAGAAGGUUCUGAAGGUUUCUUGGGAAAAGGUGGGCGAGGAUUAUUCGGCUGAUAAGUUGAGGGAAUUGUUUUCAGAGUUCGGUGAAGUGGAAGAUGUUGUCAUCAAAGGGAGCAAGAAGAAGGGUUCUGCACUCGUUGUUAUGGCCAAUAAAGAAGGAAGUGUUGCUGCAACGGGAAGUGUGAUUGGUCAUCUUGCUAAUCCGUUGCUGGUUUUACCGCUUAAACCGGCCACUAUUGCAGAUUCUUCCAGUUUUCCGAAGUCUGCUGAAACUGCCAAAUUGAGUAAUCUGGUUGGUGCUGGGUAUCAAGCUUUUGAGGAUUCUGUUCUGAAGAAACUGCAAAAGGCUGCAGAAAAGCAAAAAUGAUGCUGUCAGAAUGAUAAGCAUAAGAUUCAAUUAUUUGGCUUGGUCAUCCCCAAUUCUAUGUUUAGGAAUCUGCAAACCUCUGGUGUUAUAUUUCAAGAGAAAUAUAUUUUGUUGAAAACCACAAGCUGGAAAUUGAAUCAGUUGUGUGGUUUUAAUGUCAUCUGGGCUCAAUGUCACAUGCCGUUAACAGCAGAUAAAAUCAAUACUGCUUGCAAGCACGUGGAAAGUCAGAAGCCAUCGAUUCCCACCAUGAUUGCUUAUAACUUCAGUUUCAGUUAAAUCCUGUUCUCUGCUGUCACGUAUGCAGCACUUAAAUGGGAAUGGAACUCGGAUUAAACUCAGAUUCUAAGUCCACUUUGGAAAAGCUCUCGCUCAACAUUGCAUUGGAUAGAAGAAUAAUACUUGGGACUAUGCCUCACUCAGCCAUCCAUGUGUGCUAGAAUAAUAAAUAGUUGUAUAAAAAGAGUAGAGCUUUAGAACGUGCUGUCAAGUACCGAGGCUUUCUGAAAAUACCUUUUUAUACUGGUGAUUGCCACACGACUGCACAACAUUAUUAUUGUUUUUUCUGCUGUACAUUUCAAAUAAUCCAUGAAUUGAUGUAUUAAAGACAAACCUGAACGAUGCAAUAUCAAAUCGGUAAACCUUUGGAGGUAAAGCAGAAGUGAAGAAUUA